rnacentral:piRNA from 1 species
ACUUUUGUAGGUGAAACCAAAAA